rnacentral:rRNA from 1 species
CCUACGGGAGGCAGCAGUAGGGAAUCUUCCGCAAUGGGCGAAAGCCUGACGGAGCAAUGCCGCGUGAGUGAAGAAGGCCUUCGGGUCGUAAAACUCUGUUAUAAGAGAAGAACAAAUUGUAGAGUAACUGCUACAGUCUUGACGGUAUCUUAUCAGAAAGCCACGGCUAACUACGUGCC